rnacentral:rRNA from 1 species
UCCUACGGGGGGCAGCAGUGAGGAAUAUUGGUCAAUGGGCGCGAGCCUGAACCAGCCAAGUCGCGUGAGGGAUGACGGUCCUACGGAUUGUAAACCUCUUUUGCCGGGGAGCAAGCGUGCGUUCGUGAACGCGCGUCGAGAGUACCCGGAGAAAAAGCAUCGGCUAACUCCGUGCCAGCAGCCGCGGUAAUACGGAGGAUGCGAGCGUUAUCCGGAUUUAUUGGGUUUAAAGGGUGCGUAGGCGGAAUGCCAAGUCAGCGGUAAAAUCGCGGGGCUCAACCUCGCUCCGCCGUUGAAACUGGCGU